CACCCGCAGCUCGAGUGGUGGUCACUUUUAUUGAGCCUAGAGCGUUUGUAGCCGGUUUUGCAAAUCUUCAGAUAAAUUCCUCUGCUUAACAGAUGAUCUUCUGAAGAGACUGCGAGACUUGGGACCGGGUGAGGUUGAAGGUACUUCCGGGGUAGGGGUAAAAUCCUGUAAUCCUGGAAGGACGACCGGUGGCGAAGGCGUUCAACUAGAACGGAUCCGACGGUGAGGAACGAGGGCUAGGGUAGCAAACCGGAUUAGAUACCCGGGUAGUCCUAGCUGUAAACACUGCCCACUUGGUGUUGCCCCUCCGAUGAGGGGAGGCAGUGCCGGAGCGAAGGUGUUAAGUGGGCCGCUUGGGGAGUAUGGUCGCAAGGCUGAAACUUAAAGGAAUUGGCGGGGGAGCACCGCAACGGGAGGAGCGUGCGGUUUAAUUGGAUUCAACGCCGGAAAACUCACCGGGAGCGACCUUUGGAUGAGAGUCAGCCUGAUGAGCUUACUCGAUAGAAGGAGAGGUGGUGCAUGGCCGUCGUCAGCUCGUACCGUAGGGCGUUCACUUAAGUGUGAUAACGAGCGAGACCCCCAUCUCUAAUUGCUAACGUGCAUUCGCGUGUACGCGCACUUUAGAGGGACCGCCAGUGCUAAACUAGAGGAAGGAGGGGUCGACGGCAGGUCAGUACGCCCCGAAUCUCCCGGGCAACACGCGCGCUACAAAGGGCAGGACAAUGAGUUGCCACCUCGAAAGGGGGAGCUAAUCUCGAAACCUGUUCGUAGUUAGGAUUGAGGGCUGUAACCCGCCCUCAUGAAUGUGGAUUCCGUAGUAAUCGCGGGUCAACAGCCCGCGGUGAAUAUGCCCCUGCUCCU
rnacentral:rRNA from 1 species